GGUUGUGGUUCAGUGGUAGAGCGUUUGCCUCCCGUGCAUGGGGCACUGGGUUCGAUCCUCAACACCA
rnacentral:tRNA from 1 species